UUAGGUUUAGGGUUGGCUCUCUGACUUCCAUACUCCCCGCCCUCCAUCACAACCGACGCCGCCCUCCACCAUCCACAAGCCGUCGUCGUCUCCGCCUUUACCGGCCUCCACCAGCCAGACCUCAGCGGCAGAAGUCGUCGCCACUGCUGUCGCUACCGCCUCUGUUCUUUCUUCUAUCUCUAUCUCCCUCUCUGCUGCAACCGCACGUCGGCGCCAAUCAAAACAAUUAUUCCUAAUUAGUGGGGCCUCACUGUCGCAAUAGGAUCUCAGCAGGGUUUCGGCAUUAAUCAUGGGGGUGGAAUUGGAAAACGGCCAAGCUCAGUUUCAGGAUAUGGAGGGUGUUAAUUUCACAGAUGAUCAGUUAGUUGAUUUCAUUAGGGGGUUUCUUACUUCAGUGUCGCUGGGAAAUACUGAUGGGUAUCACCAGCUUGUUGGUGUUAUACACCACAGAGAUCGAUUAUCCCCUGAUGAGGUUGCCUUGCUCGUGACAUGUUUGAAGGCGCUAUCUGGAGCAGUUUCUUGUAUUGAUGUCGUUCUCCACGAAUCUCUUCUUGCUGCAAUUUUUAAAAUGAGCUUGUGGGAUUAUGGACCUAACGUGAUGGAUGCCCUGAUUGAACUAAUAACAUCCCUGGCUGUUUCGAGUGGAAAAUAUGUGGAUUCAUGCUUGGAUAUGCUUGUAACUAAUUUCAUGCCGCCCCAUUCCUACAAGGAUUUCCUGAAGAAGCCACAUGGUCUUACAAGAAAGGAUGAAGUUCUUUCUCGAGUGCACACAGCUCUAAAAGACAUCUCGGACUUGGUUCCUCUUGCACCCUUGAGAUUAGAGCUCAUAGUUGUCCAUAAAAUGCAGAGAGUAUUUUUCAAGGAAUCUUUGACCACGAUAUAUGUGGAGAACAUGCUGAGGUUGGAAAAGGGUGCAAUGAGUGAAUUUGUUGGGAGGAAAAUCUUAACUGCACUGGUGGAUAAGCUUUUAGAUUUGGAUGUGGAGAUUGGGUGGGAUGAUAUCCUACAAGACGAUUUCAGUAAAGGAAUUUUUGAGAUUGAACUUGAAGAUGAAAAUGAAUCUACAGAUGAUAUUGAUGAGGAUAAUAGUGAGCUUCCAAGAGAACUAAGUCGUAAGAGCUUAGGUGGAAAUGUAAUUGCUGAAACGUUAGAUAGCUUGAUAGUGCUUACAUUUGAACAUCUUGAAUCAUGUGAACGUGAUGGACGAUUGAAUGAGGUUUUUGACAUUUUACUUCUAUCAUUUCAAAGAACUGUUCUGACUGCUUACAAGUCUAAAUUUGCCCAGUUUGUCAUAUUCUACGCUUGUGCAUUAGAUCCAGAAGUUUGUGGUGCAAGAUUUUCCGUCACGCUAGCUGAUAUGUUCGUUUCCUGCAAUGGUCUUCCCCUUACCAGGAUGAGUGCUAUUUCAUAUCUUGCGAGUUAUUUGUCUCGCGGGAAGUUCCUGUCAACCUCUUUGGUUACCACUAUAUUGAAAAGAUUGGUGGAUUGGUGUUUAGAAUAUGGCAAAACACAUGAUGUUGACCUGAACCCAAAGGCUCAUAAAAUAUUUUAUUCUGGUUGCCAGGCCAUAAUGUAUGUGCUUUGCUUUCGGAUGAGAUCGAUUUUGGAGAUACCGCGGCUGAAGUCGCAACUUCUGCUUAUGCCUAUAGGUCGAAUCUUGACGCAUAGGUUAAGCCCACUGAAGGUUUGCCUACCGUCUAUCGUCGAGGAAUUUCUCCGGCAGGCAAAAGUUGCUAAUUUAUUUACACCAUCAGAGACUUUUAUAUUCAAUGGUUUGCUGGAGUCUGAAUAUUCAAAGACUUUCGGUGGGAUUGAAAGGCUCGACAUGUUUUUUCCCUAUGAUCCUUGCUUGCUGAAAAGAUGUGACAGAUAUCUCCGGCCAUAUUUUGUAUAUUGGUCGAUGGUUAGACCUACAUAUGAUGAAGAAGAAGAAGACGAAGGUAGCAGUGAUGAAGAUGUCGCGGAGGUUUUCCCGGAUAGAAUCGAGGAAAACCUUAUGGACGAUGAAGCAAUGGCAAGAAGCUACGAUGAUAGAGAGUUUGACCUUGAUGAAUUUGAUAAUGCAUUAGAUAAAAUGUCCAUCACACCAAGAAAUUCUCUCCCGUUCAGGCAAGAUUGUGUUCGGAUGCCCUCACGAAUCCGACCCUCAAUGAGUCCAGAAUCUUUGUGAAAGUAGCAAGCCACUCCACGACUAGUUAGCUAGUACAGAGGCCAAGUAGAAGGUAGCUCAUCCAGCCCAGCGAGCGGAUCCAUCGCUGAAAAAGAUCGAGUAUGCGAGUUGUGUGGUUCUGACAAUUGAUAUCAAAGUUAGGCUAGAUUCACCAUGAUUUGUGAAGAUGGAAAGCUCGAAGAUUGGAAUUGAGUAAUUUGAUGGACUCGAUUUCGGUUCCUAGAAGAUGCAGAUUGAAGAUUAUCUAUACUAGAAGGAUCUUCACGAACUCUUGUCUGGGAUGAAGUUAGAUACUGGGAUCACGGAGCAGUGGAAGCUCAAGGAUUGGUAGGUCCUAGAGUUGAUACAGUUGAUGUUGUUUAGAAAUGUAGCGUUCAACAUUAUCAAGGAGAAGACAACAUCGAACUUGUUGAAGGCGUUAUUGAAUAUGUAUUUGGUGUGGAGAUUAUCCAUCGUCAAACUGUUGGCUAUGAACAAGGUGUAAUUGGUGUGGAGAUUAUUCAAAAUACAAAUGUCUAAAGGUGGAUCUGUUA